rnacentral:rRNA from 1 species
GAUGAACGCUGGCGGCGUGCCUAAUACAUGCAAGUCGAACGAGAUCUUCGGAUCUAGUGGCGAACGGGUGAGUAACGCGUUGGUACCUACCCUGAAGUGGGGAAUAACUGGCCGAAAGGUCGGCUAAUACCGCAUAAUACCGCAAGGUUAAAGUCGUAAGACGCUUCGGGAGGGGCCUGCGUCCCAUUAGCUAGUUGGUGAGGUAACUGCUCACCAAGGCGACGAUGGGUAGCUGGAUCGAGAGGUUGACCAGCCACACUGGGACUGAGAUACGGCCCAGACUCCUACGGGAGGCAGCAGUAAGGAAUCUUCCACAAUGGGCGAAAGCCUGAUGGAGCAACGCCGCGUGCAGGAUGACGGUCUUCGGAUUGUAAACUGCUUUUAUAUGGGAAGAUUAUGACGGUACCAUAUGAAUAAGCACCGGCUAACUACGUGCCAGCAGCCGCCGCGG